GCUCCGAGCCGCCGGGAUGGCGGAGCGGCAGGGCAGGGUUCGGCUCCGCGCCGCCGCCGGGAUGGCGGAGCGGCUGGGCCGGGCUACCGGGAUGGCGGAGCGGCCGCGCUCGGCUCCGCACUGCCCUGCUUCACCCGUCCGUGCUGCCGCACUAAGUGCCUUGAAAUAACCGCGGAGCCACCGGCCAGCCCGCUCCAAACCCACAGCCACCCCCGUUUCCCCCCUUUUUUUGGUAUAUACUCGCAGUCCGUCUGUGACCAAAACUACCAAAUUUCAGUAAAAGGCACGCCCAGGGCCUCCACGGAGCAGCGUUCCUACAACGCCCCGGUGCCAGCGCGGUUGGGAAAUGAGGCGCGCACGUCUCCCGACCAGCCCUACAGCUACGUCAAACAUUGCACAAUUCUGCCAUGAAUAUUCACUUCAUUUCUUUUCCUUCAAAGAUGAAGUGGUUUUAGCCAUGCUCAAACCUCGUAUUUGCUUUUCACGGGCAUUUGCGUAAUCAAGUUACAUUGGCACAAGCGUUUGUACAAGCCAGAUUUCAAAAUCUGACAUUGAAGUAUUUGUAAGAUCAAUUUUGAUCCUUUAUCGAACCCUGCCAUGGGUUCAUUACCUGAUGCAUCCCCUGAAAGCUGCUUGAUCUAAACCCAUCUCUAGAAGAGCCAAUCUCUAGGACAUUAAAACCAAACAAAACUCGAGGACAUCUGCACAGAUGGGUUCCUACACUGACAGCAAGCACAGACCAAGUUCACACACAAAGUUCCAUGUCGUGCUCAGAAAUACUACAGAAGCAUUUGCAGUUUUCUGGUGGAGAUACACCACAACUUCGAUGAAGGAUCAGCUUCUUUUUGUGAUUAUUCAGCAAAGGAGAUUUUUUUCUUUGAAACCCUCAGGUCCAACAGAUUUUAACCCUUGUGUCUCCUGAUGGGCACUUGUGAAGGGGUAGGAGUGUGCAGCAGGGCAGAGAGACAGAAAGCUGGAGCUGACCCCCACGGGUGAGGACAAGGGCAUCGUCUCUCCAGGCCACCUCUCUCCUGCAGCACGGUGCCCCCAGUUCCUCAGCCACAGCUGUGCUCUGACCUCACUGCCGGGGUCACAGAGCGCAGAAGGGAGCGAGUGCUGCCAUGAGAAGCACUAAUGAAUCCUUUUUGACACGCUGCCGGAGCUGUGUCACCUCCCCAAAUGGCUGAGGGGUGACACCCCGACCCCCGUGGUCCAUCUGCUGCACCAAAUGUAAGUGCAGGACCUGUGUCAGCACGGAGGGGAAGGAAUGGACCAAAUACCUCCUCCAGAUCCCUUCCUUCCCACCACACACUGUGGCUUUAGUGGAGGAGUAACUCUGAGAUGUUGAGGAUUCUUCUGUCUGCUGAAGUCAACCAGGGACAACCAGGAGUAUUGCACCAGGACCGACCCCUGCCAUAUGCUGGGGAUUAUCUCCAAGGGAUAGACACAGCACAGGCGUACAAAGGUAGCUGGUGCAGAAGAGAUGGAUCUGGAAUCAUUAUGUCUAAUAUAGACUAUAAAGGGGCAGUGUAACUAGCAGUACCACCAAAGUGUCCCCAUAGCUUGAGCCAAGAUUAGGCUUUGGAGACUUGAUUCCUGCAGGCCAAAAGUCUAUGACCUCUGGGCAGCCCUGCAGCACUGGUACACUCCUGGACAAUUCUCCCUCUCCAGCUCAGUGCUUGAGCCUCUGGUACAGCCAUUCUCCUCCAGUUCAGACCUCCCAGCAGACACCAACACCAGGUCACCCUGCUCUCCUCACUCUUUCUUCAGUGAUUACCCAAGGUGGUCAGCUGUUCUGUAAGCAGUUUUUGUUCUGUGCAAUAGAGAAGGGUGAAUGUGCUCUAUCAUGGAUGUUUCUAGAAAGGUCCAUUGUUUCAAGCAUGCUCUGACAAGAGCUACAGCAAAAAAGAACCUGGAGCUGUUUAAAUGCAUGCAUCAGAACUUUGGAUUCAUGACUUAACACUUUAAGUUCAUAGAAAUGACACAAAACAUGGUGAUUAUUCACAAAGGGUUUGGUCACUUUUUUGCUUGUGUUAACAGUGGGAUCCACAUAAAAGAACUGGGACCUCGUUUAGCUUGGCAAUAUUUAGUGUCUCAUGUGCUAGAGGAGCCAUGCUUGUCUCACACAGUGAAGAAUUCAGAGGGCUGAGCUCACAUAUAAGGGUUUUCUUGAUAAAAAUUUUCCUUUACAUUCUCAAAUGAGGUCAUGUUCUAGGAGUCUAAUGCUCUCCCAUUUUAACUUGAACUAAGCUUGAGGCAAACAGAGGACUGUAUAUGAUUUUUAAAUGAUUUAAACACGGCCUUUCAGUAUGACUAUACUCACUGCAGCAGGCCAGAGUGCCAUUCUCACGAGCAGCAUAUUUGCUUCUGCAGCAAAUUUCACAUAAACCAGGAAAAAACACAACCCCCAAACCAAUCAAGAUCUGUAUAUAACUCAUCUGAAAGGAACGCUGGGGGUUUGCUACUUCCUCUUACCUUCAUACUCGGCAACUAUUCAAAAACACAGUUCCAGGAACACAAGAACUAAUGAAGACUGCUUUCCUAUGGAUUUAUGCCUGUGAUUAAUUACUUUGUGUCUAAGGAGAAGUGAAGCAUGAGAAGCAGUUAAACUGAGAAACAUUAUGAAAGCAAUACGGAGAGAAGCUGAUUUUACAGACUGGUCUCUGCAAAGUCAGACCAGUUGUAGGCACCCAACAGUUCUGCAUGGUGACUGUGCAAGUUUCAGCAAUACCAUUUCUUAUACCUGCUGAGCCAAGAUAUCAGGCUUGUAAGAGCACAUUAGAUUUGGCAUAAGUUUUAAGAAUGUAAUAAAACAGGGUAUAUAUUUCUGUUUAAUGCUUAACUCCACAAAUGCCUACUUACCUAAAAGCUUUUCUGCUAAGCCAAGUAGACUAUAAAUUUUUUAAUUAGGCACAGCUUCCUCAGUGAAGGAAUGCACCCAGCUAGAUGCUUUUUACAGUAAUAAAGUUAUAAAUACACACAUGUGCAUUUGGCAUACACAGUUUAACAGUUUUGAACACGUUAUACUGAUUCCUAGCUGUAACAUGUAGACUGAUGCACACUAAGGAGGUGGGGAAGAGCAUUUUAAAGAUAUCUUAACAUGAAAUUGCUCAUUUAAAGAAAAUGGAGGUUGUGGGGCAGAGGGGAACAUGCACAAUUACUCAAACCUGUGGGUUUUCAACACAGUUCAGAGCAUUUUUGGAAGUUUCCCAAAGGAACAGAAGAUAUUUAGUUAUUCCAAUCAAUGCUGAUGUUCCCUUUAUAAAACUGAAACUGCCUGGCUCUGUUUUACCCUAAGGCAUUUGCUCUCCAGUUCCAUGGUUCACACACAGAAAAGAAUCAAGAAAAAACACCUGCAGAUCUAUAAUUUUUGAAAGAAUUUCUAAUACUACGACAAACACUACCAGAUAAGCCAGCUUUAUUUCACUGUGAGGUACAACAGUAUUUAUCUAUAUUUGGAUCCUCCUGAAUCAGUGUUUAUUGCUGCAAUACCUAUGAGUGAUCUCUCAAUCAAGACACGCAGCAUGGGCUUCUCUGUGUUCCGGCUGUAUCCUACAGACUGAACUUGCCAGUGCCUAUAUGCUAUUUUGUCCUUUAGCAUGAAGUUAUUAAUCAAAGUUUAACUACAGCAACUACAACUUACCUUAUGCCAAAUUUAAUACAAGGAAACAUCUUCUAGCUCACUGAAGACUCACACCAAGUGCGUGGUUUUGGAAGAUGGGGCCAAUAUACAUUCAACUGUUGAGUUUGCAAAAUUUAGCUAAAUGGUAUCUUUCCUCUAAGCAGAUGGUUCUAGAACACAUGAGCUCAAUGGUCUCCUUAUUCCUGAAGUGAUACUCAAAUGUUCUUAACACCCCUUUGGCACCCCCACCUCCAAACCCCACUCCAGGUCUGAGAAUCUGCAUCAUAGGUAAGGUCACAGGCAGAGCCUGCCACACACAGCAAGGUUCUCUUUCCUUGUUCAGCAACUUGCUUGGCUCAGAUCUACAAAAAACAACCACCUUACUGACAGAUGUCUUCCCCUGGCAAGCCAUGGCCAACACAUUCUAGAAACCAAUCUGUAUUUUCCCCCUUCCCUGAACCUUGCUAGUUUGGGGCUUUUCCCCAGUAGCAACUUCUGAUGGUAAACAUUUGUUAUUUUAUAAUAAAAUUAUAGGCUAUACUCAAAUUAUCCCUUUCCCCCAGAAAAAAUCUUCUAGGAAUAAGCUUAGUUAUAUACACUCUAAACCGAAUGUGCUGGAAGAAAAGACCACCAUCCAUGUUGUAUUACAUUUUUUGUUAUUAAAAAAAGCCAAGAGGAAACCCUUGGUAAGAGUGGAGCAUAUUAAUUAUGACAAGACAUCAUGACAUACCAACCAGUGAGACUUAAAGGCCGCUAAUAACACUUUUUGUAGCAAUUAGUGCAAGACAGUUAUCCGAUAUAAACAAAUAUUUGAUGGUAGACUUCAAUAAUAAACAAUUCACUUGAUGACAUUUACAUAUAAAUACACAUAAAUAAAACCUGCAUCAUUUAGGCUUGUAGUUAACAAAAAGUAUGGUCUGAAAUGAAUUAAAUGUAAUUGUGCCUAGCUAGAUCAAAGCUUGUCCUAUAAUGAUACUCGAGUGUGUGGGGUAUGAAAAGCACAAAUGUACAAUUCUCAAUUUAGUAAAGUACUACUCUAUGAAACAGAAUCAUGAAAACAGCUCUUACAUUUUAAUGCAAAGUAUAAAAUUGUAUAUUUACAUUUACAUACACUUUACUGAACUACAUUGGGUAGCUCAUGGUAAAAAACAUCCCUUUUUGAAAAUUUUGCAAAAAAUACAUCAACUGCAGAUAUGAUCAAAAGUUACUAAGUUAGCAGCUGACAUAACAUCUGUAGUAAAAAUAUAUUUUAGGAAAAUACCUGGAAAAAUCUAAAAACUAAUAAACACUUUAAAACUAUUUUUGAAGUAAAAAUUGUAGCAAAACCCAGAAGAAGCUAGCAAGGAUAACAAGAACUAUUGCAUAUUGCUCUUUAAGAGCCAUGUAGCGACUUGAAACAGAAGCAGCAGGUAUGGUAGGAGAUUUGUGGUGUAACAAAGUGGAAACCGUAGGAUAACAGGAAACCAGUUAUCUAACUUCUCUGUUUAUUACCAUUUUUAUGGGAGAAGUAUAAGAAGAUAAGAGAAUCCCUCUCCCUGAGGAUAUCCUCCAUCAAAGGCUAAAACAAAUUGGUAAAAGGAACCCAAUUUCAAGAGCCUUGGAUCCCCAAUGUAGAAAUAUUUACCAUAUGUACUUACAGUUCAGUGGACAAUAAAUCAGAUUAUUACACUACAAGUUGCAGGUUAACUUUAAGAGUUAACACUAUAUUGCAAUAUGAAGUGCUUCUUAAUAUAUGUAUCUAUAUAAUAUACAGACAUCUGUAAAAUACUCGUGCAGAUUUGAUAGAACAAACUGUGGAAAUUGCUUUCUCAAGUCUUUUCUCCCAUUAACAGAUCUUUACCUCCACACAAGGAGGUUCAGGAUU